UACGGGGGGGGCAAGCGUUGUUCGGAAUUACUGGGCGUAAAGGGCGCGUAGGCGGCCUGUUAAGUCAGACGUGAAAUCCCUCGGCUCAACCGGGGAACUGCGUCUGAUACUGGCGGGCUUGAAUUCGGGAGAGGGAUGUGGAAUUCCAGGUGUAGCGGUGAAAUGCGUAGAUAUCUGGAGGAACACCGGUGGCGAAGGCGACAUCCUGGACCGGUAUUGACGCUGAGGCGCGAAAGCCAGGGGAGCAAACGGG
rnacentral:rRNA from 1 species